UUGCAGGAUCAUGCCAUAGUGAAUGGAUUAGCAAUGGUGGUCAGGGCGUGGUUUGAGGGCUUUAAAAGGAGAGCGCAUGAGGAACUAACUCUUUUUCUGCUCCACUAUUUCUGCCAUUCGAGAUCUCUGGAUCACUGUUGCCACCAUCAAGGCUUUCACCAAAUGUAUUCUCUGGACAUUAGACUUCCCAGCCUCCAAAAGUAUGGCCCACCGGGUACCACUUAAACAAGAGAAAGCGGAUGGCCUGCUGGGUGCCAUAUACACCUGAGAAGAGUGCCACAUGCAGAUGGGCAGAUGACCCAAGGAAGGGUGCCCCUGCAAAACUAAGUACACAGAUGGAAGGAGUUUUGCCCUUAGUCUCAGAUGACACUAAAGUACGGAACAGAGAAUGGACCGAACGGCCGACUCCAACGAGGACGAGUGGAGGUUUGCAGCCAAGGAAGCCGGGUGGGGGGUGGUGGCGGCGGUGGAGUCAGUGGCUGAAAAAGUGCUAAGAGGAAAGAAACAUCGGGGGUAAGGGGGAUUUCUGCUAGACCGACUCCCACUCCGUAGAAUUCUUGCGGAAGGCAAGCCAGGGUGAAAAGAGACCAGGAUGGAGGAUUUUCACUGAACUGAUUUGGUGGGUUUCUUGCUCAAACUGGAUCCUACUAGGACAGAGCGGGAAACCCAAGGUCAAGCCUACUCAGACUGGACUCAGGAGCCUGAUUCAAGUUUUGGUCAAAGGACAGAGGCUUGGUGGACAGUUCCCAAAAGGAGGGGGCUCAUUGCACCACACGGGGCCACGUGGGGAGGCACGUGGGUCAGUCGGGAGUCAGAAGAAGUAAAGGAGAAACGAUGUCUCAGG